CCCUUAGAUGCUCUGGGCCGCACACGCGCUACACUGAAGGAGGCAGCGUGUACUCCUGGAUCGAAAGAUUUGGGUAACCCGCGAAUCUCCUUCGUGCUAGGGAUUGAGGUUUGCAAUUAUCCUUCAUGAACGAGGAAUUCCCAGUAAGUGCAAGUCAUAAGCUUGCGCUGACUACGUCCCUGCCCUUUGUACACACCGCCCGUCGCUACUACCGAUUGAAUGAUUUAGUGAGGACUUCGGACUGGGACCGAUGCGGCUUUCGGGCUGCGUCGGUAUUCUGGAAAGAUGUCCAAACUGUAUCAUUUAGAGGAAGUAAAAGUCGUANCA
rnacentral:rRNA from 1 species